UGACGGUCGACGCGUCAAUUCAUUUCAUUUCAUUUUUUUUUCUCGAUUGCCCAUGGAUGGAUCGAGGAGACCAUUGAAGCGGAUUUAAAAUAAUGCAGGAGUCCGUCCCAUCUGUAGAGAUCGUUCCAUUUAAAUAGUGUAUGAUACACAUUAUUAGAUACAACAAAUAUCCAGAGCAGGGGGACGAAGACACUGAUAGAAACCAGAUAUGGCACAAGUAGCAGUUCACAGAGAAUGGAUUUCAUUGUACGCAAUCAAGUGAAUACGAUCGACAAUGCAGAGAGCAAUGAAUGAAUUGAUGAGAGUUAUUAUUAGUUACGAGCAUAAUAAUCAGCUCCAUCCUGAAACAGAUGAAAAGUGAUCCACCACGAGGGAGUGAUUCCACGUUGCGCUCUUCCGUUAUUCGAAUAGAUAUUUUUUGGGUGGUUGAGAGAAGAAGAAGAAGAAAGUGGAGGAAACACAUCGUCACUCAAAGAAACUUGAAAUUGGAAGGUCUUCAGUCUCAAAUUCGCCCAACCUUGCCAAAACGGUGCGUCGUCAUCGCCAGCCAAGAAUGGGAACUUCUUGUAACAAUUUUCUGGGCAACAAUCAGCUGGAUAAUCGGAUUCGAUGGGAUCUUCUUC